rnacentral:rRNA from 1 species
UACGUAGGGGGCUAGCGUUGUCCGGAAUCAUUGGGCGUAAAGCGCGUGUAGGCGGCCUAGUAAGUCCGUUCUGAAAGCCCGGGGCUCAACCCCGGGAGGCGGAUGGAUACUGCAAGGCUCGAGUCCGGAAGAGGCAAGUGGAAUUCCCGGUGUAGCGGUGAAAUGCGCAGAUAUCGGGAGGAACACCAAUGGCGAAGGCAGCUUGCUGGGACGGUACUGACGCUGAGACGCGAAAGCGUGGGGAGCAAACAGG